CUGUAAGCCGUUGAAGGUGUCCUGUGAGGGGUGCUGGAGGUAUCAGAAGUGCGAAUGCUGACAUAAGUAACGAUAAAGCGGGUGAAAAGCCCGCUCGCCGGAAGACCAAGGGUUCCUGUCCAACGUUAAUCGGGGCAGGGUGAGUCGACCCCUAAGGCGAGGCCGAAAGGCGUAGUCGAUGGGAAACAGGUUAAUAUUCCUGUACUUGGUGUUACUGCGAAGGGGGGACGGAGAAGGCUAUGUCAGCCGGGCGACGGUUGUCCCGGUUUAAGCAUGUAGGCGGAGGUUCCAGGUAAAUCCGGUACCUUAUUAACGCUGAGGUGUGAUGACGAGGCACUACGGUGCUGAAGUGAUAAAUGCCCUGCUUCCAGGAAAAGCCUCUAAGCAUCAGGUAACACGAAAUCGUACCCCAAACCGACACAGGUGGUCAGGUAGAGAAUACCAAGGCGCUUGAGAGAACUCGGGUGAAGGAACUAGGCAAAAUGGUGCCGUAACUUCGGGAGAAGGCACGCUGAUAGGUAGGUGAAGCCCCUGCGGGCGGAGCUGAAAUCAGUCGAAGAUACCAGCUGGCUGCAACUGUUUAUUAAAAACACAGCACUGUGCAAACACGAAAGUGGACGUAUACGGUGUGACGCCUGCCCGGUGCCGGAAGGUUAAUUGAUGGGGUUAGCGGCAACGCGAAGCUCUUGAUCGAAGCCCCGGUAAACGGCGGCCGUAACUAUAACGGUCCUAAGGUAGCGAAAUUCCUUGUCGGGUAAGUUCCGACCUGCACGAAUGGCGUAAUGAUGGCCAGGCUGUCUCCACCCGAGACUCAGUGAAAUUGAACUCGCUGUGAAGAUGCAGUGUACCCGCGGCAAGACGGAAAGACCCCGUGAACCUUUACUAUAGCUUGACACUGAACACUGGUCCUUGAUGUGUAGGAUAGGUGGGAGGCUUUGAAGCGUGGACGCCAGUCUGCGUGGAGCCAACCUUGAAAUACCACCCUUUAAUGGCUGGUGUUCUAACGUAGACCCGUAAUCCGGGUUGCGGACAGUGUCUGGUGGGUAGUUUGACUGGGGCGGUCUCCUCCCAAAGAGUAACGGAGGAGCACGAAGGUUGGCUAAUCCUGGUCGGACAUCAGGAGGUUAGUGCAAUGGCAUAAGCCAGCUUGACUGCGAGCGUGACGGCGCGAGCAGGUGCGAAAGCAGGUCAUAGUGAUCCGGUGGUUCUGAAUGGAAGGGCCAUCGCUCAACGGAUAAAAGGUACUCCGGGGAUAACAGGCUGAUACCGCCCAAGAGUUCAUAUCGACGGCGGUGUUUGGCACCUCGAUGUCGGCUCAUCACAUCCUGGGGCUGAAGUAGGUCCCAAGGGUAUGGCUGUUCGCCAUUUAAAGUGGUACGCGAGCUGGGUUUAGAACGUCGUGAGACAGUUCGGUCCCUAUCUGCCGUGGGCGCUGGAGAAUUGAGGGGGGCUGCUCCUAGUACGAGAGGACCGGAGUGGACGCAUCACUGGUGUUCGGGUUGUCAUGCCAAUGGCACU
rnacentral:rRNA from 1 species